rnacentral:rRNA from 1 species
AACGAACGCUGGCGGCGUGCCUAACACAUGCAAGUCGAACGAGAAAGGGGCUUCGGCUCCGAGUAAAGUGGCGCACGGGUGAGUAACACGUGGGUAACCUGCCUCUAAGAUUGGGACAACUCGUCGAAAGAUGAGCUAAUACCGAAUAAGACCACAGUUCCUGCGGGAACAGGGGUCAAAGGUAGCCUCUGCUUGCAAGCUAUCACUUAGAGAUGGGCCUGCGCACCAUAGCUAGUUGGUAGGGUAACGGCCUACCAAGGCAAAGAUGGUUAGCUGGUCUGAGAGGAUGAUCAGCCACACUGGAACUGAGACACGGUCCAGACUCCUACGGAGGCAGCAGUGGGGAAUAUUGCGCAAUGGGCGAAAGGCUUGACGCAGCAACGCCGCGUGAGUGAUGAA